rnacentral:rRNA from 1 species
AAACUGCCUGAUGGAGGGGGAUAACUACUGGAAACGGUAGCUAAUACCGCAUAACGUCGCAAGACCAAAGAGGGGGACCUUCGGGCCUCUUGCCAUCAGAUGUGCCCAGAUGGGAUUAGCUAGUAGGUGGGGUAACGGCUCACCUAGGCGACGAUCCCUAGCUGGUCUGAGAGGAUGACCAGCCACACUGGAACUGAGACACGGUCCAGACUCCUACGGGAGGCAGCAGUGGGGAAUAUUGCACAAUGGGCGCAAGCCUGAUGCAGCCAUGCCGCGUGUAUGAAGAAGGCCUUCGGGUUGUAAAGUACUUUCAGCGGGGAGGAAGGUGUUGUGGUUAAUAACCGCAGCAAUUGACGUUACCCGCAGAAGAAGCACCGGCUAACUCCGUGCCAGCAGCCGCGGUAAUACGGAGGGUGCAAGCGUUAAUCGGAAUUACUGGGCGUAAAGCGCACGCAGGCGGUCUGUCAAGUCGGAUGUGAAAUCCCCGGGCUCAACCUGGGAACUGCAUUCGAAACUGGCAGGCUAGAGUCUUGUAGAGGGGGGUAGAAUUCCAGGUGUAGCGGUGAAAUGCGUAGAGAUCUGGAGGAAUACCGGUGGCGAAGGCGGCCCCCUGGACAAAGACUGACGCUCAGGUGCGAAAGCGUGGGGAGCAAACAGGAUUAGAUACCCUG